AGUCAACCUACCCUAUGGACGGGAAUAAUCUCGGGAAACUGAGGAUAAUGCCCGAUAGAACACUAUGCCUGGAACGGCUUGUGUUCCAAAUGAUUUAUCGCCGUAGGAUGGGACUGCGGCCUAUCAGUUUGUUGGUGAGGUAAUGGCCCACCAAGACUAUUACAGGUACGGGCUCUGAGAGGAGUAGCCCGGAGAUGGGUACUGAGACACGGACCCAGGCCCUAUGGGGCGCAGCAGGCGAGAAAACUUUGCAAUGUGCGAAAGCACGACAAGGUUAAUCCGAGUGGUUCCUGCUAAAGGAACCUUUUGACGGUCCUAAAAACACCGUUGAAUAAGGGGUGGGCAAGUUCUGGUGUCAGCCGCCGCGGUAAAACCAGCACCUCAAGUGGUCAGGAUGAUUAUUGGGCCUAAAGCAUCCGUAGCUGGCUCUGUUAGUUUUCGGUUAAAUCUGUGCGCUCAACGUACAGGCUGCCGGGAAUACUGCAGAGCUAGGGAGUGGGAGAGGUAGACGGUACUCGGUAGGAAGGGGUAAAAUCCUUUGAUCUAUUGAUGACCACCUGUGGCGAAGGCGGUCUACCAGAACACGUCCGACGGUGAGGGAUGAAAGCUGGGGGAGCAAACCGGAUUAGAUACCCGGGUAGUCCCAGCUGUAAACUAUGCAAACUCAAUGAUGCACUGGCUUGAAGCCAAUGCAGUGUU
rnacentral:rRNA from 1 species